rnacentral:lncRNA from 1 species
UUUUUGUUCCAACAGAAGGUGACUCUUGUUCGUGAUGGAGAGAAGGGGGCACCAGCAUGACCUUGAGGCUGAGGAUACCACCAGGGGCGGUGGAAGAGGAAACAGAGGUUCACAGAGGACCAGUGAUGUGCCAAGCCCAGUGAUGACUGUCUGCGCCCUGUGCGGGUGAGGAAGCGACGACAGCUCCACGGCACCAGAUGUGGGCUCGAGGCCUGAAUACCAGCAGCCUGUGAAGAAAGUGCAGGUUUUCCGGACUGUUUUUCACCCAGCUGAGCAGAGGCAGGGCUGUUAGUCCUCAUCACGGUAGAUGAUCACGGGCCACGCGUGGUCAGAUGCUUGUUCUGGGAAGCUGGGUCUUCAGAGCGUGAGACUGUCGCCGCUCCCCCUUGUCCGUGUGCUGGAGGCUCCUAACCCGCAAGACUUAAGGAGGCCCCAGCGCCCUGGUGGGCUGCUUCUCCCACCCCAGGCGUGUGCCUUCUGGACUCAACCUGGUUGUAGGUGUGCAGUCCUCUCUCCUCUUUUGAACGCCUGACUUUAUUCACACGGGCGGGCCUCGCGACAACCUUCUCCGUGAGACACUCUGCAGGAGCUCGUCCCAGACUUGGCCAUCUCCCCAGAUGUCCGGCCAUUUCCAAGCUGGUUGUGCAUCAGAAUCACCACUGUUCUCUGGAGACACGGACGCCUGGCCCCAGGCCCCCUGUGCUGCUUCACAGGCCCGAGCUGGGGCCUUGGGCACCUGCAGAUGUAACAAGUCCUGCAGGUCCAGCCAUCCCAGCCCCUACGCUUGGCCCUGGUUCUGCCCCAGGUCCAAGGAGACGCAUCCGUUGCCCACAUGGAGACAGCACCGUGGGUUCACUCCCCUCCCGGCUCCCACAGGAUCUACGAGGGCCCCUUGGGGAGACAGGAGCCGGGAGACGUGAUGUCCCCGUCUGGAGGUGCAAGCUGCUAAUUGUUUUGUUUUGCGUUAUCGGCAUCUGCGGGAAGAGAGAGCAAACACCGCCACUGCCCGGCCUGCCGUCCCUGGAGGUGACCACCCUGUGGUCAGGGCUCUUGGCACAGAACCUGUCAGACGCACAGCUGAGCACCCCGUCUGGCUGCCCCUGUGUCCUUGCUGCUAAGACAGUUGUGCCUACACGCUGCCCUGAGAACAGGCGCUGUGGUGACUGCCACGCCUUCCUGCAGCAGCAUCAGGAACAUACUUCCUUCUCCUUCUCGAAGAUUCCAGGCGGAACCUCUCAGCUCUGCGCCACAAACUGAACGCCUCCACCAAGUUUUCUCUCUCUAAUUUUAAGGGCACGUUUCCCCCCAAGCUGCAGCUCUGGGCUCUCAGAGGAUGCUGGCAGGCCAGAGCACACAGGGGCGAGGGGUGGGGGAAUGACUAGGGCCUCCCUUACAAAACACCUUCAGUGUUUCUUUUUAAGUGGGUGGGUGGGUUCUCAGAUGCAGAGAAAACCCACAGUGGCAGCCCUGUGUCUCUUGUAGGAAGAGGAAGUGCCUUGUCUGCUGAGAGGAGCUCCAUUCAGCCUCUGAGCCUCAGUUUCCCUGUUUGUGAAACCAAGAACUAAUCCUCCCUGCAACUGCAUCACAGGGCUUUCUCAAGAGGAUAAAAUUUAAUCAGGUUCAACAAGCUGUGUAUUAAUACAACACUUAAACUGCUUCCCAAAUGACGUGCUGAGGGAAUACACGUGUGCAUAAAAUGAGAUGUCGUUCCCAGAAGAAACGGAAAAUGCAGAGGAAGGCACACUCGUGUUAGCAAGCAGGAUGCAGCGCUGAAUUAGUGAUCGUGAGGCAACCACGGCCCCGGAAGCCCCGUCUCCACAGCAGGCUGUGCCCUUGCUGGCCUGUGCCCACCCUGCUCCCAAAUGAUGAGGGUCCAUCACACGCCCACAAAGGGGAGAACCCAGCCCAUCCUGUUGGGAGUGGAGACGGUGACCCCUGGGCACAGGGGCCAUGUCUCUUGAACCUCCUGGUGCCUCAAGCCCAGCAGAGUACCUGGCACAAGCUCAGCCUCUGAGCUUUUUUUAACCAUGAAACAAACAGAUGCACAGCGACCAGUAUAACAGUUUGAGAACCACAGCACCGCCCUGCCCCAACUUGCUUCCCAUCUUCUUCAUCACCUAAGGAAGCAUCACUACCGUUUAGCUUUUCCUCCUUUGAACCAGGUCUGAAUGGACGUCAACAGACAUCUUCUGGGACAUGUGUUUCUGUUCUCCGCCGUAUUGAGACUCAGUUAGUUAACGUUCUCUCCAGGGCAGGACUGACGGUGGUGGGUGCAGUCAAUGCUGCUGAAUGCAGGCAGGGGCUGUGAAGGCAAAUACCCCGUGUGCCCAGCCGAGGAGGAGAGAGUUGGGAGCCCGCGGGAGCCCGAAGGCCAGGCUGGGCAACAGCUGCACUGCUUGGACCCUGCAGGGCGUGGC